rnacentral:rRNA from 1 species
UACGAAGGGGGCUAGCGUUGCUCGGAAUCACUGGGCGUAAAGGGUGCGUAGGCGGGUCUUUAAGUCAGGGGUGAAAUCCUGGAGCUCAACUCCAGAACUGCCUUUGAUACUGAAGAUCUUGAGUUCGGGAGAGGUGAGUGGAACUGCGAGUGUAGAGGUGAAAUUCGUAGAUAUUCGCAAGAACACCAGUGGCGAAGGCGGCUCACUGGCCCGAUACUGACGCUGAGGCACGAAAAGGCGUGG